rnacentral:sRNA from 1 species
UCCAUCAGAUUUCCGUACAGGAUGUAGG